rnacentral:rRNA from 1 species
UACAGAGGUCUCGAGCGUUGUUCGGAUUCAUUGGGCGUAAAGGGUGCGUAGGCGGCUGCGCAAGUCGGUUGUGAAACCCCGGGGCUCAACCCCGGAACUGCAUCCGAUACUGCGUGGCUAGAGGUAGGUAGGGGAGAUCGGAAUUCCUGGUGUAGCGGUGAAAUGCGCAGAUAUCAGGAGGAACACCGGUGGCGAAGGCGGAUCUCUGGGCCUUACCUGACGCUCAGGCACGAAAGCUAGGGGAGCGAACAGG